UAGAGAGAGACAUGCGCGCAUAUCAAUAAGCGGAGGAAAAGAAACUAACAAGGAUUCCCUUAGUAACGGCGAGUGAAGCGGGAAGAGCUCAAAUUUGAAAUCUUCAAGGUUUUACCUUGACGAAUUGUAGUUUAAAGAAGUGUUUUCUGCUGAAGUUUUGGUAAAAGUUCUUUGGAAUAGGACAUCAUAGAGGGUGAGAAUCCCGUAUUUGACCAUUAUUUUCAGCUUUGUGAUACACUUUCAAAGAGUCGGAUUGUUUGGGAAUGCAGUCCAAAAUGGGUGGUAAAUUUCAUCUAAAGCUAAAUAUUGGCGAGAGACCGAUAGCGAACAAGUACCGUGAGGGAAAGAUGAAAAGAACUUUGAAAAGAGAGUUAAACAGUACGUGAAAUUGUCAAAAGGGAAGCGUUUGACACCAGUGUUGUUUUCUCGAAAAUCAAUUAAAAAUGGCUCGAUUUUGUAGUUGUUGAGACCUUAAAAGCUCACUGUACAUUUUUCGUGUCUUUUUUAAUGCACUUUUCGUUUAACGAGUCAACAUCAGUUUCUUUUGUUGUAAAAGGGUCAUUGGAAGGUGGCUUUCUUUUCGGAGAAAGUGUUUAUAGCCUUUGGCCUCUGCAAUCGGAGAGACUGAGGUCUGCAGCGUAGACUCUUCGGGGUUAGAUACAUUUGUGCUAAGUUAUAGCUUUUUAUAGACAACUUGUUGACUAUAAUUAGUCUUGUAGCUUACUCGCUUAUGCUAUUUUACCUACGCUUAGGAUGUUGAAGAUGUAGCACAUCAU
rnacentral:rRNA from 1 species